rnacentral:rRNA from 1 species
UGGGGAAUAUUGGACAAUGGGCGAAAGCCUGAUCCAGCCAUGCCGCGUGUGUGAAGAAGGUCUUCGGAUUGUAAAGCACUUUAAGUUGGGAGGAAGGGCAUUAACCUAAUACGUUAGUGUUUUGACGUUACCGACAGAAUAAGCACCGGCUAACUCUGUGCCAGCAGCCGCGGUAAUACAGAGGGUGCAAGCGUUAAUCGGAAUUACUGGGCGUAAAGCGCGCGUAGGUGGUUGGUUAAGUUGGAUGUGAAAUCCCCGGGCGCAACCUGAGAACUGCAUUCAAAACUGACUGACUAGAGUAUGGUAGAGUGUGGUGGAAUUUCCUGUGUAGCGGUGAAAUGCGUAGAUAUAGGAAGGAUCACCAGUGGCGAAGGCGACCACCUGGACUAAUACUGACACUGAGGUGCGAAAGCGUGGGGAGCAAACA